UUCUAUCAGUGAUGAAUUACUUUUACCUACAUUGCUUGAUCUAUAUAUAUGAGAAAAACACAUUACUGAGAUAGGA